UGAGGAGAGAAAAUACCCUCAAAGAGUGGACUGCGCCUUCCCGAAGCAGCCUAAUUAUAAGUAGAUCUGAGGACUAAGCAGACUUGCCCACUUGCAUGUCUUCUCGUCUUGCUGGUGAGUUGCUGCUUGUCCUGCCCGCAAUUCAGUAUUCUUUUAGGACGUAUUUGGAGAACACAUUACAUUUUAUUCCUCCAUUUGCUGCCCAGCUUCACCAUGUUACUGACUGAACUAACCCAAACUCAUUGAGCAAUGUGUACGCCCUCCACUUGAGUAAUCUCACAUGUUCCUGUGACUUCGAUAACGCCAUUCUGUCAUCUCACAUCCCCUCCCUGGAAUGUCCUUCUAAAUUCUAGACUUGUAUCUACAACGUCCCAUUUGACAUGUGUCCUUGAAUCCAUUGCAAUCAUCUCAAAAGCACUGUGUCUCAGCUUGAACAUUUGAACUCUGCGGCUUGCUUCUCCCAAUUCCCAGCACUCGCCAUGGCAAUUAGUGGCAAUUUUAUUUUUAUGCAUAUAUGUAUUUAUACAGGGGCUGAUAGAUCUGAGGCUGGCCUCAAACUCACAAUGACCUGAAACUCCUGGUCCUCCGGCUGCCACCUCCCUAACACUGGGCUUACAGGUAUGCUGCCACACCCAGUAUAUAUGGUUCUUGAGAAUCAAGCUCUGGACCUCAUCCAUAUUAGGCAAACACCAUACCAUUAGGGCUACAACCUGGUCCACUCAGUGGUAGUUUCCUUUCUCUUCUUGCUCACAGAGUCCAAAGUUCAACUCUUUCUUUCUUGUUUCUUCUUCUGGUCCAUCAUUAAGCCAUCUCAAAAAGAGUGGAAGACACAGCCGGCCGUUGGUGGCGCACGCCUUUAAUCCCAGCACUCGGGAGGCAGAGGCAGGCGGAUCUCUGUGAGUUUGAGGCCAGCCUGGUCUAC